GUAUAACUUUGAGAUUUUUAUCUAGGAUCUAAGGUAGUAAUCUGUGACACAACAUUAAAAAAAACACUGUUCCAAGAAGCAGAAAACAGGUCAUAAUCUCUGUUCUGCUACAAAACUUGCUACAUAACUUUGGACGAUGUUUUAUAUCCCCAUGGGCUCCGCAUGUGUAAAAAAAUGGAUUUGGACCAGUAGACACUCCAGUUCCUUCUAACUCUCUGUGGCUAUAAAAGCUGAAUAGAAUCCAUCUCCUCUUUCUUCACAGAGCUAAGACCUGCCAGGUGAGGUCUCUGACUGGAAGCACUACAAGAGACUCCUGCCAGGGUCUGCCAUGUUCAUGGAGCAGGACGCCGUUUGGAGAAGACACCUUGAAGCAUGAAGGGUAUCUGUUGUUCCGACUGAACACACAGGUAGAGAUCAAGAUUGGAGAGUAACAAGCUGCUGUAAGUCUGAAAGCACCUUCGUGUACAAUGUAUACGUCUAAAAUCUUAAUUAAACAUGUAUCUUGGAAAUAGCUGACCUUAUAUAUAAGUGUUAAUGCGUCACAAGGAUGCUUUUCACAG
rnacentral:lncRNA from 1 species